UCCAAAAAAAAAAAAAGGGUUUCCUUCCACUUCCCCACGUCUCUCUCCCGUCAAUCUUUCAGACCUCUUCUCUACAUUCCCCCUUGCUCUGUUUUUUUUUUUCUUUUAUCCGCCUCUCUUAGCUUUCUUGCAAGCUUCUACCGGCUCCAUUGUUCUUGGUUCGGCGAAGAUGUCAUCCUUAAUGACCACCAUGGCAAGAUGGUGAUGUCUGCCACACGUCUCAUGCAACUUGGCUCUUUCG
rnacentral:lncRNA from 1 species